GGGGAUUUAGCUCAGUGGUAGAGCGCUUGCCUAGCAAGCACAAGGCCCUGGGUUCGCUCCUCAGCUCCG
rnacentral:tRNA from 1 species